CCCUUUCAGCAGCGCGAGGCCUGCUUAACAUAUGACUCUGGCUGCAUUACUGCGUGGCAUCCCAGCACCCAUUCGAACAUUUCAGCAAUUUUAAACAAGCUCCACUGACAGGGACUAUUAAACGGAAGCCAAAGAAGCACGCCAGGAGAGCACAUUAAUUAUGAGAUUUGCGCUCCAAGCCCUGAAACAGUUAAUUCCCUGCUCUGCUCUGUGCCAACGGAAAUGGAUGUCGCUGCUUACCUUGUAGAGCUUCAGGGCCGCCUCGUGCCUGUGAUUGGUGCACGAGAGAAAAUGCUUCUGCAAGAAGGAAUUAAUGAAGAGAACUGCAAAAGAAUGUGUGACGACCUCUUCUGACACGGCAAAAACUUUCCACCCAUGUCACGACAAAGGGGAGAAGAAAAAGACCCAGAAAUGCAUUAAACAUCUAAAAGCCCUCCAAACCAAAACAACCCAUGAUGAUGGAGUGGUAGAGGUGUAGGAUGGUCCUCCUAGAUGUCAUCUAGGACAAGCAAACAUGAGGAAUGAUCAGUCACCUAAAUACAUGAUGCUGGUGUGUGAACUCCUGACCUGAAUGACUAAAACACCUACCCGGGACUUGUCUUGGACCAUCAGGGCAUUAUGACAUAUUAACCAAGUCAAGCUGCCCAAUUCUUAAAUGUUGUUUGUUUAUUUUUUCAAUCUCCAGAAUGUUAAAGUGGCUAA